rnacentral:rRNA from 1 species
UACGGGGGGGGCAAGCGUUGUUCGGAAUUACUGGGCGUAAAGGGCUCGUAGGCGGCUAACUAAGUCAGACGUGAAAUCCCUCAGCUUAACUGGGGAACUGCGUCUGAUACUGGAUGGCUUGGAUCCGGGAGAGGGAUGCGGAAUUCCAGGUGUAGCGGUGAAAUGCGUAGAUAUCUGGAGGAACACCGGUGGCGAAGGCGGCAUCCUGGACCGGUAUUGACGCUGAGGAGCGAAAGCCAGGGGAGCAAACGGG